GUGCGAGACCGAUAGCGAACAAGUACCGUGAGGGAAAGAUGAAAAGAACUUUGAAAAGAGAGUUAAAGAGUACCUGAAACUGCUGAAAGGGAACCGAAUCGUAUCCAGUGUCUAUAAUCCAUGGCAUAUUUCAUUGGCGAGUGAGUGCGUGCAGCGUUUUGGAAGUGGUUUUCCGCUCCUGUCGUUGUUGUGCAUUUGCUUGCUGGUGCCCUGUGCUGUGGUGGGACGUCAGAGUCAGUUUGUAUGUUGCGGGAAAUGGUUAUUGGGGAGGUAGGUCACUUCGGUGGCUGUUAUAUCCUGGUAACUAGUCGUCGUGGCUGAGACUGAGGUGCCUACAAUGUGCUUUCGAGUGUGCGGGAUUCUCGUGUGGCUGUUUGCUUUGAUAGCUUGCUAUGUUGGUGAAUAAGUCGUGCGAUUGAGACCUGUAUUAACUUGUUGCUGUUCGGGACUUUGA
rnacentral:rRNA from 1 species